rnacentral:rRNA from 1 species
GCUAAUACCGGAUAGGCUUGUUCGGUCAAAGGGACAAGGAAAGGCUCCGGCGCUCUGGGAGGAGCCUGCGGCCCAUCAGCUAGUUGGCGGGGUAACGGGCCACCAAGGCAGAGACGGGUAGGGGGUGUGAGAGCAUGGCCCCCCACAAUGGGACUGGAACACGGCCCAUACUCCUACGGGAGGCAGCAGCAGGGAAUAUUGCACAAUGGACGGAAGUCUGAUGCAGCGACGCCGCGUGGAUGAAGAAGGCCCUCGGGUUGUAAAAUCCUUUACAGGGGGAAGAGGAAGGACGGUGCCCCUGGAACAAGUGUCGGCUAACUACGUGCCAGCAGCCGCGGUAAGACGUAUGACACAAGCGUUAUCCGGAUUUACUGGGCGUAAAGCGUCUGCAGGCGGACAGGUAAGUUGGGCGUGAAAGCUCCGGGCCCAACCCGGAGAGGUCGUUCAAUACUGCGUGUCUAGAGGGUGUCAGAGGGGAGUGGAAUUUCCGGAGUAGCGGUAAAAUGCGCAGAGAUCGGAAAGAACACCAAUGGCGAAGGCAGCUCCCUGGGGCAACCCUGACGCUAAGAGACGAAAGCUAGGGGAGCGAACAGGAUUAGAGACCCUGGUAGUCCUAGCCCUAAACGAUGGAUGCUGGAUGUGGGGCCAUAGCGCUCCGUGUCGAAGCGAACGCGUUAAGCAUCCCGCCUGGGGACUACGGCCGCAAGGUUAAAACUCAAACGAAUUGACGGGACCCCGCACAAGCAGCGGAGCGUGUGGUUUAAUUCGAUGCUACACGAAGAACCUUACCUGGGUUUGACAUCUAGGUGGUAGUGAAGCGAAAGCGGAGCGACCCUUCGGGGAGCCUAGACAGGUGCUGCAUGGCUGUCGUCAGCUCGUGCCGUGAGGUGUCGGGUUAAGUCUCGUAACGAGCGCAACCCUUGCCCUCCGUUAUACGUGUCAGAGGGGACUGCCGCCGGUAAGCCGGAGGAAGCUGGGGAUGACGUCAAGUCAGCAUGGCCUUUAUAUCCAGGGCUACACACACGCUACAAUGGCCAGUACAAAGGGCAGCGAAGCCGCGAGGUGGAGCGAAUCCCAGCAAAGCUGGUCGUAGUUCG